UACGUAGGUGGCAAGCGUUAUCCGGAUUUAUUGGGUGUAAAGGGCGUGUAGGCGGGAGCGCAAGUCAGAUGUGAAAACUCAGGGCUCAACCCUGAGCCUGCAUUUGAAACUGUGUUUCUUGAGUGCUGGAGAGGCAAUCGGAAUUCCGUGUGUAGCGGUGAAAUGCGCAGAUAUACGGAGGAACACCAGUGGCGAAGGCGGAUUGCUGGACAGUAACUGACGCUGAGGCGCGAAAGCGUGGGGAGCAAACAGG
rnacentral:rRNA from 1 species